AAUCCGUGUUAUGGGCACCUCCUCAAAAGAUCCUUGAAGAUCUCCCAUGUCUCCAACAAUGAUUCCAAUUCCAUCUGUACAAAUGGCGAUAUCUCAUUACGAAGAUU